UUUAAUAGUCUGUUGGGAGCUGCCCAGAAUGGCUGGAGAAUGAAUAAAUAAAUAAAUACACUCAAAGAGGGUCUUGCUUCUCCCAUAGCCAUAGCAGUGGAUUCAGACGGAAAUCUACCAUCAUCUUCUGACCCUCUCUCCAUCUUUCUUGCCUUUAACAGCCUGCAACCUAUUUUUCCUUUAGGUCACCCCACGGCAAACCCUAACUGCCUUUGUCUUCUAACUAUGAGUUGAGGAAGGGGCACAGAGCCUCCUCUUCUUGCCUUUCCUAAUAGCUCAUCACUUCAGGUGAUUUUCUCACAAUAAAAAUUGCCUGGCGUAUCUUUUAACAUUUGCUGAAUCCAGGGGUUCAAUGCCUGGCACCCAGAAACUCAUAACAUUUCACUUCCUUGCAGCCUAAGGAAAGCUGUUUGUUUCUUGGUGGAAGACGCUGGCAGAAAUUGCUAAUGUAGAGUAACGUCUGAUAAUGGAUCAGUGUGGUGUCUGUUUGAAAUGCAAUUAGUUAAAAUGCAGAUUUAAAAGUGGUUAUAAUGUAUUUGGAUCCUAUAUUUUUUAAAAGCGCAAUGCCUAUCUAUGGAUGUAAAAGAAUAUAGAGUUAAGUGUUAUGCUAUAUAGUUAUGUUUAGAACUUUAUAGUGUUUAUAGCUUAAUAGUAUUAUAAAGUAUAUAAGGUAUUGUGUGUACGAUACACGUAUAUUUGCGUAUUUUAAGCAGGAACCCCAAAAUACUUUUUACAAUUGCUGCAUCGAGGCUGGUAUAUGCAACCUCGCCUACGCAAUGAUUUUCGGGGGUGGGAUAUGCGACAGAAAAGUUUGUUUAGUGAGCAGGUUGAGUCACUGAGUGUUUUUCCUCCUACCAGAAAACCGUUAACUGACAACAGCUCCUGACUGGCCAGAGUUCCAAGGGAGGCAGUUGGAGUGGGAUUUGGUGUUAGAGACCCAUGGGGUCUGUGAGGAAGAAAUCAGAGGAUGGAGUGAUGGUCAUUAAGAAUAAGGACGACACAUUAGUGAAGAUGAGAUCACUAUAUGUUCAACCAAGCGACCAGGGGAUGGAGGCCACCACUGCCGAUAUGGAUGGUGACUGUGGAUCUUUCGACACGUCCCCCUGCUGAGUCACUUGGCUGAGCAACUAUUUAUCUAUAGUUCAAAGAAAAGAGAUCGUUGGUGUAAAUCGUGUUUUACGAAAAAUGAAAAUUUCUUCAUCUUGCCUAUUCGAGAGCUGCUGGCCUCCUGUUGCCGUUCCAUGAAAAUCUAUCCCCAUGUCUGUUUGGAGGAAGAAAGUGUGAUGGUUGAUGGAAGAAAGAUUAAAGUAAGAACGAUUUAUGUGAGACCGAGAGACCAGGGGGUGGAUGCCACCAGUUCUUCCACCAGUGGCAGUGACAGCAGUGAGACUAGCAACUCCAGCACAGCUCUCUCCCCCCUCCAAGACCCAGUUCCCC